AUAAAAGUAACAAUCCUAAAGAGGAGAAGAAGAAUAGUUCGUGAUUUAUCGGAUACUGAUGGAGUAAAAUGGACAACAGGGGGCGUUGUGCUGUUGAGUUUCUUCGGUAAAAGCACACUCCUUUAGUUGUGUGGGAAUUUCACCGGUAUAGGAUUGAAAGAUUGAGUUUAUUACAGGCUCUGAAUGCUUCAGUUUACGAAUCGAUUUUAUUUCGAUUGAACCCCUAUUUCAUUUCAAUAGUUAAUUAAAUAAAAUUAUUUAGUUUAAAAUUUUGAAAUUUUUAGAAUGCUAUAGAUAUUGAUGAAUGUAGUAAGUUGAGAAAAGAAAUACAUUUCAGCGUGGAAUGUUGAAUGAAAUCGAACGUAAAUACAAACUUCACAACAUUUUAAAAAGACAUUUCACAGCCUGAAUGGAAGAAACUUUCAAUAUCUAUUUUUCUAAAUGAAAUAACAUUCAACUUUCGUCUUUAACAUUUAGAAUCAGAAGUUCUUGUUAGUGAAGAUGAGAAGAAAUGGUAGAAGGACUCAGCAAAAGAAAUUAUGGAUGUGUCAAGAUUGGAGAAAAGUCAACACCUUCUUCAAAUACUCUAAGAAAGUUCUUCGAUACAAAUCUCUCUUUUAUCAUUUCUUAGUUUUUUUCUUGGUCCUCUUUUUAUUGAUCUUGUCCUUCCUGAAGUCAAAAAAGUUCGUUGUUUUUGUGACAUUUUUCUCAUAGACUGACAAUUGCCUUGAAGGAAUUCAAAGUUUGUUUUUCAGUCAGAUUUCGUGUCACCUUAGCACCUGUCUCCACACCCCAAGGAUGUCUGUUUAUACUCGAGGUAAAAAUAAAACUCUAAACUGUAAUUCCCGUAUUGAAAGUAUUAAAUUAAAUAUCAACGAGAAAAAAAUCCAAUAACAUGCGCUUGUUCUCCAAAACGUGUUAAAGUAGAUUGCUCAAAUAGGAAAGAAAAUGCAUGUACUGUAAAAAACAAUUUUAGUUACCUGAUUUGUGUUUCAAAUUAAAAUAUUUCCGAAUAUUAAAGAACGAACUUGUAAAUUAAUAAGUUUUUAUACUAUGACUUUUUUGCAAAUGUCUAGAUGAAAGAUUGAUUUAAUUGCAGUAAAAAAGAUUCAUUUCUUUAUUAUUCGAUUUUGUGAUAAAUGCAAACAUUUUUGUUUUAAUGUCGUGAUGUACAAUAUCAUCCUUAUUAGAAAAAAAAUAAAAUUUUGAAAAAAAUA